UGAGGCUGAGGCAUUUACACUGAUGUACAAUCAGCAUUACAGCGCAAGAGUGGUCUUCCAGCAGUGAUACAUCUUGAGUCUGCUAGCUCUAUGCUAUGUCAUUGGAGGGAAAAAAAGGAAAAGAGAAAGAAGAGAGCUGAAGCAGCCCAAAAGCCUUGUUCCUGGUUAGAGGAGAGUUACACAGCAAGGUGGUAGCGCUGAGAAGAGGCAGCUGGGCCCUGCUCUGCUCCUUGCCCAUGAUGAAUGCACAAAGAUGAGGAGAAAUGACACGGAGCCGCCUGCUGUGGAAAAAAAGCAGCUCUCGGGAAAUGGGACCACGUUUUCCUGCUGUUAAUGAAUGAGGACCUGCUCUCUGGCCCACAGACCAACUGGCAUAGCCUGGCAAUCGACCGCGUAGCUCCUUGACAUCAAGGAGCACAAAUUUAAUAUGAAACUAAAGUCAUGCUUCUCCUCUGCUUGCUGUUCAGCUGGAACAAAUGCUUCCAUUUCCCCUGCCCAGAUAUCAAGCAAGGAAAUAGCCAGAACCAGAGCAGGCAUUUUUAUUCACAGGGCAUAAAGAAAUGCCUUUUUGCGUCUCUGUCUCAGUCACACUGCUUUAGUACUGUUUGUUUUUCUGGCAAAUACCUUUUCAUCUGAUAAUCACUCACAGGCUCCCAAGUUCUUAAAACGUGCAGCUGCGUGCAACAAGUGUUCACAGUCCCUUAGACCUGACUUCACUGACACCAACCACAGCGGAUUUCAGAGCGGUUACAGAAUGCUUUUCUUUUAGCUGCUCACACCUGGGUUAAUCAAUUUGUAUUUACAGUCCACAGCUAAUUCCUAUGGGAGUUAAUUGUGGCAGAAUUACAGUUGCUGACAACACAGCUGCCGUCAUUUCUUGUUUGCCUCCAACAGCAGAGACUUUCUUGUAAUGGUGAGAAGAGGAAAUAAAGGGAAAAGGGAGCUGGACACAAAACUACAUAUUGUUGUAUCUGCUUGUUGCAGCGAGGGUGUGAGGAAAGCAUCCCCCUGUGGCUCUGCUGUGUGCUCACACCAAAAGAACUGUCCCAGUGCUCUUCUCUCUGCACACAGCUGCUUGGGGCUGCACGGUUUGGAUUUGAAGCAUUGCUCCAUUGCUGUGCAGGCACGAACAGUGAAUCUCCACAUCCAUACAGUGUCCGCAGCACGUGUUCCUGACUCUGUCAUUUCUGAUGCAAACAGAAUUAAAAAGAGAAGAGUGGUCAGACUGAGGAAUGGGGUGCAGGAGCUGGCACAGCUGGAAAUGAGGGGUUGAUCAGCUCAGGUUACACUGCUGACAGAGAAAUACCAUGGAUCACAGGCCAGGCUGGAGACUGCAAGGAGGCAGGAUGCUGGGCUCUGGGCCUGGGCUCUGUGCUCUGUGCUCUGUGCUCGGCUUCCCGGAGCCAGGCUGUGGGGCUCUUCUCAGCCAGAAAACACUUCCCGUCUCCAUGUAAAGUCUCCGGAGAAGGAACAAUCAUUAGGAGGCACUCUGUCAAGAAAAAAAGCUGUGGGUGCUCUUCUCAGUCUGUUAGUUUUUCCAUUCUCAGACAAAUAUAGUCACAGUGGUGGAGUUCAUAUAUGGAAAGCAAUUCUGAUCUCUUGGUUCCAAAUCUUGCAUGAAAGAAAUCUCCAUCAGGGUGUGCAUUUCUUGAGCAGGGCAGCCCCUCUCACUGAAACCAGCAGUGUGCCUUUACAAGUGAGUGCCGGAUUUUUUCACUGAACCGCAGAAGAAAUCCAGAAAAUCCCAGUGGAGUAAUUUUACAAUGAAAACACCUUGACUGAGCUGCCGAGUCCUCUCUAGGGCUGGUGGGAACCGAGAAGCUAAGGCUGGGCUCAGCUAUGUGAAUCUAGGCUGAUUUCCAGCUACAUGAAGUGAAAUUCAUGACACAGAUGGAAGUUGUAUUCUUUCUGCAUGACGUGUGUUGCCCUGCUGGGAAGUCAGGUUUGACUGCACUGAGGUCACUGGGAUGACACUGCCCAAGGUGAAACUGGAGAUGAGAUUCAGGGACUGGAUCUUGUCAGACAGCUCCUUUGAUGGCUGCGGGUGCUUGUCUCGCCGAGCUGUGUGAUGCAGCAGGGUUAUGUGUUGGUCCUCUCCCUGCAGCAGGCUUCCAAGCACAAACUGAAAGUGCUGCGUCAGGACAUUGGCGUCACCCAAGUAAGGAUCCCAGGGUCAGUCCACCAUCUAGGGCAGCUACAAGGUGACUGGAGAGCCAUGGCAAUCUUAUUCCCACAGAAAGGACGUCCAGCAGUAGAGGCGCCGAUCUGGCCCCCACCCACCUCCAGGACAGCGAUGUGUUUCUCCACUCAGAUGCAGAUAGAAAUGUCUGAGGACCUCACGUUGAAACUUUAAGGCAGGUAUCUCUCAGGAUCCAUCGUGUUUCUGGCAGUGUAACAGGAGAAACACAGCUUUGGUCUCCAACCUCUCUUUGGGAUUGUAACAACAGUAGCUCCAGGUUAAUCAGAAGUCACUUAAAUGUUUAAAAUAAAUGUAUUAAUUGAGACCCAGAAAUAGUCUUUACCAACGACUUUAGCUUGUCUAACUUAAAAAGGAGUGGGAGCUGGCUUUUUACAAAAUGGCUUGCAGAGCUGGAUACAUAAUUCCUCCUCUAAUAAACGGCAG